rnacentral:rRNA from 1 species
CGUCAUGCCAUUCNGUUGGUGUGGCGGGGAAUCAGGACUGUUACUUUGAAAAAAUUAGAGUGUUUAAAGCAGGCUCGCGCUUGAAUACAUUAGCAUGGAAUAAUGAAAUAGGACGUUUGACCCUAUUUUGUUGGUUUCUAGGAUCGACGUAAUGAUUAAUAGGGAUAGUUGGGGGCAUUAGUAUUCAAUUGUCAGAGGUGAAAUUCUUGGAUUUAUUGAAGACUAACUACUGCGAAAGCAUUUGCCAAGGAUGUUUUCAUUAAUCAAGAACGAAAGUUAGGGGAUCGAAGACGAUCAGAUACCGUCGUAGUCUUAACCAUAAACUAUGCCGACUAGGGAUCGGAUGAUGUUAAUUUUUUAAUGACUCAUUCGGCGCCUUACGGGAAACCAAAGUGUUUGGGUUCCGGGGGGAGUAUGGUCGCAAGGCUGAAACUUAAAGGAAUUGACGGAAGGGCACCACCAGGCGUGGAGCCUGCG